CGAUUUUAUCUCUUGCUGCUUGAGAAAAGAGGCAGCAAGUAGGUGGACCGCAGCGGAGCUGCUCCAGCACCCGUUUAUAUUGCAGCGCGGCGCCGGCGCCGACGAGUAGCCUGAUUUCCCGCAUCAAAAUGUAGAACUUUACCUUUACAAAAAAAAAAAAAAUUAUUAAGAGUUUUAUUGUUAGUUGCGAGAAAGAUUCUUCAAUUACAGAUUAAUAUUUUUCUAGCUCAUGAUAUUGGGGCUGUGUAUUUUGAAUCAUAAGACUUUCUGCAAAUGAAAUGAAGAAGUUAAGUUACAGUCAACACAUAGCUAUAACAAGAUGCAACCUUUAUUUCCCGAUCAUCCAUUUCCAUAAAAGGAUGUUGCAAUUAAUUUGGAACACAAACCAAUUUGUUAGAGAUAGCGACAGAUUUGAGAUACGAAGAUUAACAAAAUUCAAGAACAACAAGGUGUAACAUGGUUCACUUACGGAUUAAUUUUGUUGGUUGAAUCUACGAGAGAGAAGAAAGUGAUUUGUAUUGCGAUGAGAGGAGGCGUAAAGGAGAUUUGUGUUACAAUGAGAGGAGACGAUGAGUGCAGAAAGAGAUUUAUAUUAUGAUGAGAGAAGGUGCAAAAAAAUAUCUGUAUUACGUUGAGAGGAUGUGCAAAAGGAGAUCUGUAUAGAGAUGAGAGGAGUUGGAAAGGAGAUCUAUAUUACGACGAAAGAAGAUGAUAAGAGGAGACGCAAAACGAAAUUUCUCUGACAGCCAAAGGAGGCGG
rnacentral:lncRNA from 1 species